UUGUGGACCCAUCAGAGGAAAGUGUUAGCAGAUAUCUUCUGAUACUCUGAUGAAUACUAGAUGACAUGUACUUAUUACUGUUAGUAGAAUGUCUAAAUUGGACUAUCAAAAUAAAGUGUUAUUUUUCUUGCCCCAUUGGCAGAUAUUGUUGCUCGAGUUAAGCAAACACUAACAAAAUUUUGAUAUAUAUAUAUAUAUUUAAUCUUAAGUCAUUUCACCUGUCAGGUAAAUGCAUCUUGAUUCAAGAAUGUUUAGAUAUUUGUACUAGAAAACAAGACAAACAUACUGAGUAAGAAGAUCAGUUUUUGCAGUUUAAUAUCAAGUACAGGAAUCAUAAAUCAUGUUUGGAUCAGUGCUUCCUCUGCUGUUUCUCUGUUUCAGUAUGUGUUCGUGUCGUUACUGAAUCGAGAAGCGUGUUUCAGACUGCUGCGGUCGCUCUGUACACAGCUGAAGAUGGAGAACAGCAGCAGGAAAUCCUGCACAGAAAACCCUCCGGAUCUGGAGAUCCACACGAUUUCCAGCCAGUCGAGUCUAGAGGAGAGUCCUGAGAGGACAGACGAGAGCGGAAGGCUCCAGCCAGAAGUAGGAAGCAGUGAAACCAGCAGAAAGAUCAUCACGCCGGAGGAGCACAGCACAGCCGUCUCCUGGGUAACCAUGGUAACAGAGAAGGUCAGCUCCGUUCUGUCGUCCAAUGAGACGCGGAGCCUGGACAGACUGCUGCUCUUCUACAUGAUCCUUGUGAUUCUUCUUCUGCUGGCGUCUGGUUACAUCGGUUUGCGGAUCGUGGCGCUGGAGCAGCAGCUGAGCAUUCUGGGAUCGAUGCAGAAAGAGAAUCAGGAAUCGUGAGAACAGUGAGGGUCCUGGAGGAGAAUGGUUCAGAUUGAGCUUCAGUCAAAGCAGUGAGAGAAUCGUGCUGCUAACACACAGUCAUUAAUGCUGGUCAGAUGGAGACUGUGUGCAUCAGAGACCUGCAGCUCAUCCUGACCUCACUGACCUCAUCAUUUAUAAAUACUGUAUUUCAUAAACUUUAAAUAUUAAAUAUUCAGAUUAUAAACGCUGGUGUUUCUGAUCUGUCUGAAAGUAUUUCUGCUACACUAUUAGAUCUGAGAUGUUUAUAGUGUUUUAUAUAAGGUUAAUAUUGUUAUUCCUACCUGCAUACGUUCUAAUAAUUAUAAUUGUGAAUAUUUAUUUUGAGACAUCUAAAAACAAUCAAGUAUAUUUCUGAUGAGUGUGUGUGAACAGAACUGGAUCUGUG
ensembl:lncRNA